UACGGAGGGGGCUAGCGUUGUUCGGAAUUACUGGGCGUAAAGCGCACGUAGGCGGACUGGAAAGUUGGGGGUGAAAUCCCGGGGCUCAACCUCGGAACUGCCUUCAAAACUAUCAGUCUGGAGUUCGAGAGAGGUGAGUGGAAUUGCGAGUGUAGAGGUGAAAUUCGUAGAUAUUCGCAGGAACACCAGUGGCGAAGGCGGCUCACUGGCUCGAUACUGACGCUGAGGUGCGAAAGCGUGGGGAGCAAACAGG
rnacentral:rRNA from 1 species